rnacentral:rRNA from 1 species
UACGUAGGGUGCAAGCGUUAAUCGGAAUUACUGGGCGUAAAGCGUGCGCAGGCGGUUUUGUAAGUCUGACGUGAAAUCCCCGGGCUCAACCUGGGAAUUGCGUUGGAGACUGCAAGGCUAGAAUCUGGCAGAGGGGGGUAGAAUUUCACGUGUAGCAGUGAAAUGCGUAGAGAUGUGGAGGAACACCGAUGGCGAAGGCAGCCCCCUGGGUCAAGAUUGACGCUCAUGCACGAAAGCGUGGGGAGCAAACAGG